rnacentral:rRNA from 1 species
AACGAACGCUGGCGGCAUGCCUAACACAUGCAAGUCGAACGAAGCCUUCGGGCUUAGUGGCGCACGGGUGCGUAACGCGUGGGAAUCUGCCCCUUGCUUCGGAAUAACAGUUAGAAAUGACUGCUAAUACCGGAUGAAGUCUUCGGACCAAAGAUUUAUCGGCAAGGGAUGAGCCCGCGUAGGAUUAGGUAGUUGGUGGGGUAAAGGCCUACCAAGCCGACGAUCCUUAGCUGGUCUGAGAGGAUGAUCAGCCACACUGGGACUGAGACACGGCCCAGACUCCUACGGGAGGCAGCAGUGGGGAAUAUUGGACAAUGGACGCAAGUCUGAUCCAGCAAUGCCGCGUGAGUGAUGAAGGCCUGAGGGUUGUAAAGCUCUUUUACCAGGGAUGAUAAUGACAGUACCUGGAGAAUAAGCUCCGGCUAACUCCGUG